GUACAGUUCAUCCUGAUGGAAAGAUAUGAUGGCAAGAAUUGUCUAAGACUGUGGCAGCAAGAAAGAAUUUGCUUACAGUUCAGGAAGCAGAGACAGCCUUGUGACAAGCUAUAGCCUAUAAGGCUACCCCUAUGACCUACAAUGUCAGCUAGGCCACGUCUCCAAAAGGUUCCACAACCUCCCAGAUGUUGAAACAUUAGCCAGUGGGGGACAUUUUACAUUCAAACCAUAACAUUCUAUCAUAGGCUUAUGGUUAUCUCUUAAUGCAAAAUGUACUCCACCCAAUUUAAAAGUCCCUGUUGUCUUAAUGUUCAAACACUAUCCUAAAGUCAAAAGUUUUUAAGACUCAGGUGAGCCCCUGUGAAAUGGAAAAAAAAAAAAGUUUGGUGCUUCCAACCUAUAAUGGUCCCUUUCAGAAAGGAACAUAAAUAUGGAGGAAAUGGGGGCCAAAGUGAGGCUGGAACUUUCCAGACAAAUGUCAGACCCUACCUAUACUUCCAUCUCUUCAUCUAGGGUUCAUGGUGGUGUCAUCUGGGCUUAGUCUCAGAUGUUAUCAUUAGAACUUUACCUUAAAGGCUUCAUUCACAGCCACUAACCUCCACGGAGGGAAGCUGACCUAUGUAUUGCCUGGGCCUCAGCAGCUUCUUAAACCUUUCCACAAACCUCCUUAUCCUAUUCACUCUUUAUGUGCAUGCCUGAAAAACCAGCACCGUGUGGGCAAUGCCAACUCCAGUAUAGUUGUCCCCUUAGACCAAAGCUGGAGUGGCCUCUGAGUGUCCUACUAGCUGAACCUGGGAAAAUGUUCCCUAGAAGACCCUCCUGGAAUGGGACAUCUAAGAGACUCUCUCUCUCUCUCUCUCUCUCUCUCUCUCUCUCUCUCUCUCUCUCUCUCUCUCUCGUUCAGUUGCCGUUUUAAUGGAGCUUUUUAACAGUUUGUGUUGUCACCCUGUAUAGCUUUUCACAACAGUUUGUGUGGUCACCCUGUGUAGCUUUUCACAACAGUUUGUGUGGUCACCCUGUGUAGCUUUUCACAACAGUUUGUGUGGUCACCCUGUGUAGCUUUUCACAACAGUUUGUGUGGUUACCCUGUGUAGCUUUUCACAACAGUUUGUGUGGUCACCCUGUGUAGCUUUUCACAACAGUUUGUGUGGUCACAUGGUGUAGCUUUUCACAACAGUUUGUGUUGUCACACUGUGUAGCUUUUCAACAGUUUGUGUGGUCACCCUGUGUAGCUUUUCACAACAGUUUGUGUGGUCACACUGUGUAGCUUUUCAACAGUUUGUGUGGUCACCCUGUGUAGCUUUUUACAACAGUUUGUGUGGUCACACUGUGUAGCUUUUUAACAGUUUGUGUGGUCACACAGUGUAGCUUUUCACAACAGUUUGUGUGGUCACACUGUGUAGCUUUUCACAACAGUUUGUGUGGACACACUGUGUAGCUUUUCAACAGUUUGUGUAGACACACUGUGUAGCUUUUCACAACAGUUUGUGUGGACACACUGUGUAGCUUUUCACAACAGUUUGUGUGGUCACACUGUGUAGCUUUCCCUGCUGCCUUUCUUACUUUCCAAGUUCAGAAUGUGUGAGGUAAGGAAUUGGAGGAAGUGAAGACUGAUGAUUUCAGGAAACAUCCUUACAAGUAAGGAGGGCUGGCUGCAGCCCAUAUACAGUGCUUGGCAUGCAUGCGUGAGGCCCUCAGUUCUAUCCCUACUCCUGCAAAAUC
rnacentral:lncRNA from 1 species